AAAAUAUCUUACACAAAAAAUUUUCGUUUUGUUACCCCCAGAAUGCCUUAAACUUUUUCCCAAAAUUGGUUCCCCCUUCCCCCCGAAAUCCCAAAAUUUUACCUGAAAUCUAUUCCUUUUCCCUCUUUCUUUUUCCCAAAAUCGGUUCCCUCCCCCCUCCCCAAAGAAAUCCUAAAAUUUCACCUGAAAUUAGUAGAAGCAAUGAUCAAAGAAGUAAUGGAGUUUAUGUACCCUUCUCUACUUCACUUCUCGAAUAGAAAAAGAAAAAACCCUAGCGGCUACACUAUUCCCUCACUUUCUAAACUCGAAUCCGUUAAUCAUUUAAGUUAAUGGCUGAAGAAGCAGCAGUAGCAUCGGUGCCGCCUCAAUCAUCUGCGUCGCCGUUGGGAUCUUCUGUUAUACCGCUAGUGAACAAGCUAUAAGACAUAUUCGCUAAACCUGGUAGCCAGUCCACUAUAGAGUUGCCGCAGGUGGCGGUGGUUGGAAGCCAGAGCAGUGGCAAGUCCAGUGUGCUAGAGUCGCUAGUUGGUCGUGAUUUUUUGCCUCGUGGUUCCAAUAUAUGCAUACGUCGCCCUCUUGUCCUUUAGUUUCUCCAGACCAAGCGUAAACCUGAUGGUUCUGAUGAAGAGUAUGUCGAGUUUCUUCACUUGCCUGGCAAGCGCUUCUAUGACCUCUCUGAGAUUCGCAGGGAGAUUCAGAAGCAAAUAGUAAAGGAAGGCCAGGUGCUUUACUACAUCGGACAACUAGGCUGCGAAAUUCUGACUGCGUCUGAUGUAUCCAGGGAGGUCAUAAAAAUUCUACGAGAGGAUGGUGAUUCUAUCGGAUAUGGUGAUGAUCUUAUUGCAAUUCUCUCUUCUUUUCCUGGGAUAAAGGAGCUGCAGUAGAUGAUUUCGGGGGUUGAUCCAUGUGAAGGCUUGACUGACAAUGACAUUCGAACUGCUAUUCAAAGAAGCUCUUCAAUUUAUACUUGGUUGAUUAGCCAUUGAUGCUUAUCUAUACCCCUCUUGAAACAGAUGUUAUUGUCCAGCUUUUCGAG